rnacentral:rRNA from 1 species
AUUGAACGCUGGCGGCAGGCCUAACACAUGCAAGUCGAGCGGAUGAAGGGAGCUUGCUCCUGGAUGCAGCGGCGGACGGGUGAGUAAUGCGUAAGAAUCUGCCUGGCAGUGGGGGAUAACGUCCGGAAACGGGCGCUAAUACCCCAUACGUCCUGAGGCAGGAUGUGUGGGAUCUUCGGACCUGACGCUAUCUGAUGAGCCUCGGUCGGAUUAUCUAGUUGGUGGGGUAAAGGCCUACCACGGCGACGAUCCGUAACUGGUCUGAGAGGAUGAUCAGUCAGACUGCAGCUGAGACACGGUCCAGACUCCUACGAGAGGCAGCAGUGGGGAAUAUUGGACCAUGGGCGGAAGCCUGCUCCAGCCAUGCCGCGUGUGUGAAGAAGGUCUUCGGAUUGUAAAGAACUUUAUGUUGGGAGGAAGGGCAGUAAGUUAAUACCUUGCUGUUUUGACGUUACCAACAGAAUAAGCACCGGCUAACUUCGUG